rnacentral:rRNA from 1 species
GGGGUGAGUAACACGUGGAUAACCUACCUAUAAGACUGGGAUAACUUCGGGAAACCGGAGCUAAUACCGGAUAAUAUUUUGAACCGCAUGGUUCAAAAGUAAAAGACGGUCUUGCUGUCACUUAUAGAUGGAUCCGCGCUGCAUUAGCUAGUUGGUGGGGGUAACCGGAUUACCAAGGCAACGAUGCAUAGCCGACCUGAGAGGGUGAUCGGCCACAACUGGAACUGAGACACGGUCCAGACUCCUACGGGAGGCAAGCAGUAAGGGGAAUCUUUACCGGCAAUUGGGGCGAAAAGGCCUGACGGGAGGCAAAGGCCGCGUGAGUUGAUGAAGGUCUUUCGGAUCGUAAAACUCUGGUUAUUAGGGUAAGAACAUAUGUUGUAUAGUUACUGUGCACAUCCUUGUACGGUACCUAAUCAGGAAGCCACGGCUUAACUACGUGCCAGCAGCCGCGGUAAUACGUAGGUGGCAAGCGUUAUCCGGAAUUAUUGGGCUGUAAAGCGCGCGUAGCGGUUUUUUAAGUCUGAUGUGAAAGCCCACGGCUCAACCGUGGAGGGUCAUUGGAAACUGGAAAACUUGAGUGCAGAAGAGGAAAUGUGGAAUUCCAUGUGUAGCGGUGAAAUGCGCAGAGAUAUGGAUGGAACACCAGUGGCGAAGGCGACUUUCUGGUCUGUAACUGACGCUGAUGUGCGAAAGCGUGGGGAUCAUACAGGAUUAGAUACCCUGGUAGUCCACGCCGUAAACGAUGAGUGCUAAGUGUUAGGGGUUUCCGCCCC